UGGGGAGUCGCCAAGUUGGCUAAGGCACCGGAUUUUGAUUCCGGCAUUCGAGGGUUCAAAUCCUUCCUCCCCAG
rnacentral:tRNA from 1 species